UGGGGAAUUUUGCACAAUGGGGGAAACCCUGAUGCAGCGACGCCGCGUGAUUUAGAAGGCCUUCGGGUUGUAAAAAUCUUUUUUACGGGAUGAAAAUGACAGUACCGUAAGAAUAAGGUCCGGCUAAAUACGUGCCAGCAGCCGCGGUAAUACGUAUGGACCGAGCGUUGUCCGGAAUCAUUGGGCGUAAAGGGUACGUAGGCGGCCUAGUAAGUUAGAAGUGAAAUAAUAUAGCUCAACUAUAUAAAGCUUUUAAAACUGCUAGGCUUGAGAGACGGAAGGGAAAGUGGAAUUCCUAGUGUAGCGGUGAAAUGCGCAGAUAUUAGGAAGAAUACCGGUGGCGAAGGCGACUUUCUGGUCAUCAUCUGACGCUGAAGUACGAAAGCGUGGGUAGCAAACAGG
rnacentral:rRNA from 1 species